rnacentral:snRNA from 1 species
GUGCUUGCUUCACGGAUACUAAAAUUGGAAUAAUACAGAGAAGAUUAGCAUGGCCCCUGCACAAGGAUGACAUGUAAAUUUGUGAAGCAUUCCAUACAAAA